AUUGAACGCUGGCGGCAUGCUUUACACAUGCAAGUCGAACGGUAACAGGUUAAGCUGACGAGUGGCGAACGGGUGAGUAAUGCAUCGGAACGUGCCCAGUCGUGGGGGAUAACGCAGCGAAAGCUGCGCUAAUACCGCAUACGAUCUGAGGAUGAAAGCGGGGGACCGUAAGGCCUCGCGCGAUCGGAGCGGCCGAUGUCAGAUUAGGUAGUUGGUGAGGUAAAGGCUCACCAAGCCAACGAUCUGUAGCUGGUCUGAGAGGACGACCAGCCACACUGGGACUGAGACACGGCCCAGACUCCUACGGGAGGCAGCAGUGGGGAAUUUUGGACAAUGGGCGAAAGCCUGAUCCAGCAAUGCCGCGUGCAGGAAGAAGGCCUUCGGGUUGUAAACUGCUUUUGUACGGAGCGAAAAGGCUCUCUCUAAUACAGGGGGCUCAUGACGGUACCGUAAGAAUAAGCACCGGUUAACUACGUGCCAGCAGCCGCGGUAA
rnacentral:rRNA from 1 species